rnacentral:misc_RNA from 1 species
GAAAUGCGAUAAGUAAUGUGAAUUGCAGAAUUCAGUGAAUCAUCGAAUCUUUGAACGCACCUUGCGCCCUUUGGUAUUCCGAAGGGCAUGCCUGUUUGAGUGUCAUUAAAUUCUCAACCUUAGAAGGCUUUUGAAGUCGUCUUAAGGCUUGGACUUGGAGGUUGCAGGCUCUUGAAGUCGGCUCCUCUUAAAUGUAUUAGCUGGGUUUGCGCCUUCAGCCUAUUGGUGUGAUAAUUAUCUACGCCUCUUGGGUCGUUAGCGUGUUUACUUCUCUAGCUUCUAAUCGUCCCUUGUGGACAAUACUUGACCAUUUGACCUCAAAUCAGGUAGGACUACCCGCUGAACUUAA